CCUACGGGAGGCAGCAGUGAGGAAUAUUGGUCAAUGGACGAGAGUCUGAACCAGCCAAGUAGCGUGAAGGAUGACUGCCCUAUGGGUUGUAAACUUUUUUUAUAUGGGAAUAAAAUGUUCCACGUGUGGGAUUUUGUAUGUACCAUAUGAAUAAGGAUCGGCUAACUCCGUGCCAGCAGCCGCGGUAAUACGGAGGAUCCGAGCGUUAUCUGGAUUUAUUGGGUUUAAAGGGAGCGUAGGUGGAUUGUUAAGUCAGUUGUGAAAGUUUGCGGCUCAACCGUAAAAUUGCAGUUGAAACUGGCAGUCUUGAGGACAGUAGAGGUGGGCGGAAUUCGUGGUGUAGCGGUGAAAUGCUUAGAUAUCACGAAGAACUCCGGUUGCGAAGGCAGUUCACUGGACUGCAACUGACACUGAGGCUCGAAAGUGUGGGUAUCAAACAGGAUUAGAUACCCCAGUAGUC
rnacentral:rRNA from 1 species